rnacentral:rRNA from 1 species
GCUAACAACGGUCAGUCGGGCGGGGUAAGACGUAGGGUGCGGGCGUUGUCCGGGAGGAUUGGGCGUAAAGAGCGUGUAGGCGGUUUGUCGCGGCUGCUGGGAAAAUCCAAGGCUGAACCGUGGACGGGCAGUGGGUACGGGCAGGCUAGAGGGUGGUAGGGGAGACUGGAAUUCCUGGUGUAGCGGUGAAAUGCGCAGAUAUCAGGAGGAACACCGAUGGCGAAGGCAGGUCUCUGGGCCACUACUGACGCUGAGAAGCGAAAGCAUGGGGAGCGAACAGGAUUAGAUACCCGGGUAGUC